rnacentral:rRNA from 1 species
AAAGAAAGCGUAAUAGCUCACUGGUCGAGUCGGCCUGCGCGGAAGAUGUAACGGGGCUAAACCAUGCACCGAAGCUGCGGCAGCGACGCUUAUGCGUUGUUGGGUAGGGGAGCGUUCUGUAAGCCUGCGAAGGUGUGCUGUGAGGCAUGCUGGAGGUAUCAGAAGUGCGAAUGCUGACAUAAGUAACGAUAAAGCGGGUGAAAAGCCCGCUCGCCGGAAGACCAAGGGUUCCUGUCCAACGUUAAUCGGGGCAGGGUGAGUCGACCCCUAAGG